UACGGGGGGGGUAAGCGUUGUUCGGAAUUACUGGGCGUAAAGGGCUCGUAGGCGGCCAACUAAGUCGGACGUGAAAUCCCUCAGCUUAACUGGGGAACUGCGUCCGAUACUGGAUGGCUUGGAUUUGGGAGAGGGAUGCGGAAUUCCAGGUGUAGCGGUGAAAUGCGUAGAUAUCAGGAGGAACACCGGUGGCGAAGGCGGCAUCCUGGACCGGCAUUGACGCUGAGGCGCGAAAGCCAGGGGAGCAAACGGG
rnacentral:rRNA from 1 species